rnacentral:rRNA from 1 species
AGAGUUUGAUCAUGGCUCAGAGUGAAUGCUGGCGGCAUGCUUUAUACAUGCAAGUCGAACGGAGAAGUAAUUUUUGUAGCAAUACAGAAAGUUUUUUUUAGUGGCGAACGGGUGAGUAAUAUAUAGGAACUUACUCAAUAGUGGGGGAUAACAGUUGGAAACGACUGCUAAUACCGCAUAUUCCCGAGAGGGGAAAGGUAUUUAUAUCGCUAUCGAAGAGGCUUAUAUCUGAUUAGCUAGUUGGUGAGAUAACUGCUUACCAAGGCAAUGAUCAGUAGCCGGUCUGAGAGGAUGAUCGGCCACAUUGGGACUGAGAUACGGCCCAAACUCCUACGGGAGGCAGCAGUAGGGAAUAUUGGACAAUGGACGAAAGUCUGAUCCAGCAAUGCCGCGUGAGUGAUGAAGGUGUUAUGCAUCGUAAAGCUCUUUUAACAGGGAAGAUAAUGACAGUACCUGUAGAAUAAGCACCGACUAACUAUGUG